GAUCGACAACUUAUUGCUGUAAUACGACAUUUUACUCGAUGUUUCGUAAUAAACAUUUAUCAUUUUUAUAUAAAAAGUAAUUCAUGAUUAUCAAACAUUGUACCCAACGGCCAAAGAUGUAGCCUGCGGGUGAAUAUUGUUUUGUAUCUUUGUCUACAAAAGACUCAUCAGUGACGCUCAGGUUAAAAAAGUAAAGAUAGCCAAACAAAGAUGAAGAGCACUGAAGACCCAAAAUUCAAAAAAAGUUGUGCCA
rnacentral:lncRNA from 1 species